rnacentral:lncRNA from 1 species
CUCCACCUUUGGGCAAGAUGGCUGCGCCCACUGGCUUUGCCGGGAGGGAGGGGCUGCUAUUCUCACGCGCCGAUCUGGAUUCAGAUCAGUUCUGUUCUCUGGUCUCCCGAGGCCCUGGGUUUAUGGGGUCCCCACGGACGGAAGCUUUCCCCCCAUCAGUGGGUUUCCACUGAACCAGCGGCAGGAGUCCUGGAUGAUCCCCCGGUCGCGCGGCCCCUCCCCCACUCCUUCGUGACCCACGCCGCAGCCAUCGCAGACUCUAGGGGAGGGAGCAAUGUUCUCUCCUAUCGUUCCAGCACCUCCAAGGCCAAAAUAACACAUUGGUUAUAGACGAAGCUCUCCGUGUGCCCUUUCCAGACUCCACUUCCCUCUCUCCUCCUCCUAUGAUCUGGCUCCUGAACUUGGGUGUAUGUUUUCACGUGUUAAGACAUCUUCCAUAGCUCAAGGGGGAGAUUCUUGAACUUGCCCAACCCAAAGACGUGCAUGCUUCAGAAAACGCUGGACUGAUUUGGAAAACUAGGCAAGCGCACACUCAGACCCUGCGAC